UACCAAAUCGUUGCAAACUAAGAAUACUAGGUUUAAAUUUAAUUUUUUAUGAUUUAUCAGUGAGACUGUGGGGGAUAAGCUCCAUUGUCAAGAGGGAAACAGCCCAGAGCACCAGUUAAGGCCCUUAAAAAUUACUAAGUGAUAAAGGAGGUGGGAGUGCAGAAACAAUCAGGAGGUUUGCUUAGAAGCAGCAAUCCUUUAAAGAGUGCGUAAUAGCUCACUGAUCGAGUAAACCUGCGCCGAAAAUGUACGGGACUAAGUAAUUUGCCGAAACUGUGCGAUAGUAAUAUCGGUAGGGGAGCGUUCUGUUGUAGGUUGAAGUAUUAGCGUAAGCGGAUAUGGACGAAGCAGAAGUGAGAAUGUCGGCUUGAGUAACGAAAAUAUAGGUGAGAAUCCUAUACCCCGAAAACCCAAGGUUUCCUCCGGAAGGCUCGUCCGCGGAGGGUAAGUCAGGACCUAAGGCGAGGCUGAAAAGCGUAGUCGAUGGACAACGGGUUAAUAUUCCCGUACCAUUAUUUAUUGAUAACGAGGGACGGAGAAGGCUAAGCUGGCCGGAUAUUGGUUACCGGUUUAAACGUUCGAGAUGAUGAGAGACGGCGAAAACGUCUUGAGUUGAGGCGUGAAUACGAGAUGCUACGGCAUUGAAGCAGUGUAUGUCAGACUUCCAAGAAAAGCUCGCAAUGUCUUAAAUAAAUAAUGCCUGUACCAUAACCGACACAGGUGGGUAGGUAGAGUAUACUAAGGGGCGCGAGAUAACUCUCUCUAAGGAACUCGGCAAAAUGACUCCGUAACUUCGGGAGAAGGAGUGCCUUAUUUAUAAGGUUGCAAUAACAAGAUCCAAGCAACUGUUUACCAAAAACACAGGUCUCCGCUAAGUCGUAAGACGAUGUAUGGGGGCUGACGCCUGCCCAGUGCCAGAAGGUUAAAGAAGUCGGUUAGCAUUAGCGAAGCUGGUAACUGAAGCCCUGGUGAACGGCGGCCGUAACAAUAACGGUCCUAAGGUAGCGAAAUUC
rnacentral:rRNA from 1 species